rnacentral:rRNA from 1 species
GACGAACGCUGGCGGCGUGCUUAACACAUGCAAGUCGAACGGAAAGGCCCUGCUUUUGUGGGGUGCUCGAGUGGCGAACGGGUGAGUAACACGUGAGUAACCUGCCCUUGACUUUGGGAUAACUUCAGGAAACUGGGGCUAAUACCGGAUAGGAGCUCCUGCUGCAUGGUGGGGGUUGGAAAGUUUCGGCGGUUGGGGAUGGACUCGCGGCUUAUCCGCUUGUUGGUGGGGUAGUGGCUUACCAAGGCUUUGACGGGUAGCCGGCCUGAGAGGGUGACCGGCCACAUUGGGCCUGGGAUCCGGCCCAGCCUCCUACGGGAGGCAACAGUGGGGAAUAUUGCACAAUGGGCGGAAGCCUGAUGCAGCAACGCCGCGUGCGGGAUGACGGCCUUCGGGUUGUAAACCGCUUUCGCCUGUGACGAAGCGUGAGUGACGGUAAUGGGUAAAGAAGCACCGGCUAACUACGUG